UGAAAGACACGUGACCAGCUGAAAAUCACCAAGCAACUAGAACCCAGGACUCCUGCCCUUCAUCUGACAGCCCACCGGUACCCCACACCCCAAACAAGGCUCCUCUUAGGAGGAGCUGCCCUUGAAAACCCACUUCUACCUGGGGAAACCUGGCCCCUGUGCCUCGCUGGGUACAGCGCUGCCACCCCCACUGGCUCCUCCCCCAGGCUUGACCAGAGAGGGAGCUGGGAGGCCAGCACAGCACCUGGCCCCUCUGGCAUGCCAGGCACUCCAGCUUCCUGCCCGCAGGGUCUGCGCCUCGUGGUGCCUGGGAGAUGCUCACAGCCCCGCAGAGACCUGCACCCAGACCCCGUCUGUCCGUCCUCGCGGCACACCUGGGAGGCCGCUGGGCCCGGAGAAGGAAGGGAGGUCGGACCCCUGGAGGCACGAGUGAUCGCACGCUGCCACCUGCCGCUGCCGGCACCUCUGCCGCGCGCGCGGCCGCCCUGCUCUGCUCUCGCCGCAGCCCCACACGGAGCACCUGGCAAACAGGCAGAGGAGUGCCCGCAGCCUGCUGCAACCCCACGACCCAAAGGAAGGCAUCCAGGAAGCGGGGGGAUCCGCUGGAGGGCCCCACACGCUGACACUGCCACCCUGGCUCAACUGCUCCCCGCCCCCGCAGGAGCCAAGCCCCAGAACAAUGGCGUGUCCAUCCCUCCCCAGCCAGGAGCAGGAAGGGGAGAGAGCCCCAGGCCCUGGCUUCCAGCCCACCUGCUCCAGCAAGGCAGCCCGGCAGAUGGGAUCUCUCCGCCAAAGCCCCCCACUGUGCCCCUGGACACCCAGGCCAACAUGCUCUGUGGGGUCUGCUCUGGCACUGCCCUCUCUUGGGCACUGGGGACCCUCCCAGGGCAAGGAGCCGGGCUUCUCGCACCUCCCGUAAAUGCCGGGCCGUACGUGCUGGCAGAACCGGCCAUCCCCAGCCUUCCCUGGACUCAACACAGAAGCCAGGCUGUGGGCUGCGCAGGACUGGACAGCAGAGGCCCUGGAGCGCCCCCUUCUGUCGGGAGUGCGGGCCUAGCACAUGGGCCCUGGCCUCCUGGCUCCCCAACCUGA
rnacentral:lncRNA from 1 species